rnacentral:lncRNA from 1 species
UAUUCAGAUUAUGUGAUUUGUUUUUUAAUCUAAUUUUAGAAUUUAGAAAUAACUUGUUGGCUUUCAUUAUUAUCAAUUUAUUUUUUGCAGUAGAGUAGAAAUAUUUAUUUGCAUUAUUUAUUUAUUUCAAUAUAUGAAAAAUAUGUUGAGAACUAUAAUGGCGGACACUGUUUCGGCAAAACCAAACAUGUUUAAUGGAACAAAUUUUCGUCAGUGAC